GAAGGUGGCAAGGUUGCUCGGAAUCACUGGGCUUAAAGCGGGCGUAGGCGGUACGGUCAGUCGGGUGUGAAAUCCCUCGGCUCAACCGGGGAACUGCGUCGGAUACUGGGUGGCUUGAAUCCGGGAGAGGGACGUGGAAUUCCAGGUGUAGCGGUGAAAUGCGUAGAUAUCUGGAGGAACACCGGUGGCGAAGGCGGCGUCCUGGACCGGUAUUGACACUGAGGAGCGAAAGCCAGGGGAGCAAACGGGAUUAGAUACCCCGGUAGUCCUGGCCCUAAACGAUGAGUGCUUGGUGUGGCGGGUAUCGAUCCCCGCCGUGCCGGAGCUAACGCGUUAAGCACUCCGCCUGGGGAGUACGGUCGCAAGGCUG
rnacentral:rRNA from 1 species